AUUGAACGCUGGCGGCAUGCCUUACACAUGCAAGUCGAACGGCAGCGGACCUUCGGGUGCCGGCGAGUGGCGAACGGGUGAGUAAAGCAUCGGAACGUACCCGGAAGUGGGGGAUAACCAUCCGAAAGGAUGGCUAAUACCGCAUAUUCUGUGCGCAGGAAAGCAGGGGAUCGCAAGACCUUGUGCUUUCGGAGCGGCCGAUGUCAGAUUAGCUAGUUGGUGAGGUAAAGGCUCACCAAGGCGACGAUCUGUAGCGGGUCUGAGAGGAUGAUCCGCCACACUGGAACUGGGACACGGUCCAGACUCCUACGGGAGGCAGCAGUGGGGAAUUUUGGACAAUGGGGGCAACCCUGAUCCAGCCAUGCCGCGUGAGUGAAUAAGGCCUUCGGGUUGUAAAGCUCUUUCGGCCGGGAAGAAAUCGUACGGGCUAAUAUCCUGUGCGGAUGACGGUACCGGCAUAAGAAGCACCGGCUAACUACGUGCCAGCCGCCGCAGUAACAC
rnacentral:rRNA from 1 species